rnacentral:piRNA from 1 species
ACAGGUUAUUUUCAAAAGUGCGAAGCAGAA